rnacentral:tRNA from 1 species
GGCCAGAUAGCUCAGUUGGUAGAGCGAAGGACUGAAAAUCCUUGCGUCCUCGGUUCGAUCCCGAGUCUGGCCACCA